GAGCCUGCUUGUGUAGGAUAGGUGGGAGGCUUUGAAGCGUGGACGCCAGUUCGCGUGGAGCCAUCCUUGAAAUACCACCCUGGCAUGCUUGAGGUUCUAACUCUGGUCCGUGAUCCGGAUCGAGGACAGUGUAUGGUGGGCAGUUUGACUGGGGCGGUCUCCUCCUAAAGAGUAACGGAGGAGUACGAAGGUGCGCUCAGACCGGUCGGAAAUCGGUCGCAGA
rnacentral:rRNA from 1 species